GAGUCUCGGCAACGGAUAUCUCGGCUCUCGCAUCGAUGAAGAACGUAGCGAAAUGCGAUACCUGGUGUGAAUUGCAGAAUCCCGCGAACCAUCGAGUCUUUGAACGCAAGUUGCGCCCGAGGCCACUCGGCCGAGGGCACGCCUGCCUGGGCGUCA
rnacentral:rRNA from 1 species